GAUGAACGCUGGCGGCGUGCCUAAUACAUGCAAGUAGAACGCUGAAGCUUGGUGCUUGCACCGAGCGGAUGAGUUGCGAACGGGUGAGUAACGCGUAGGUAACCUGCCUGGUAGCGGGGGAUAACUAUUGGAAACGAUAGCUAAUACCGCAUAACAGUCGACAUUGCAUGAUGUUGAUUUGAAAGGGGCAAUUGCUCCACUACCAGAUGGACCUGCGUUGUAUUAGCUAGUUGGUGAGGUAACGGCUCACCAAGGCGACGAUACAUAGCCGACCUGAGAGGGUGAUCGGCCACACUGGGACUGAGACACGGCCCAGACUCCUACGGGAGGCAGCAGUAGGGAAUCUUCGGCAAUGGGGGCAACCCUGACCGAGCAACGCCGCGUGAGUGAAGAAGGUUUUCGGAUCGUAAAGCUCUGUUGUAAGAGAAGAACGAGUGUGAGAGUGGAAAGUUCACACUGUGACGGUAACUUACCAGAAAGGGACGGCUAACUACGUGCCAGCAGCCGCGGUAAUACGUAGGUCCCGAGCGUUAUCCGGAUUUAUUGGGCGUAAAGCGAGCGCAGGCGGUUAGAUAAGUCUGAAGUUAAAGGCUGUGGCUUAACCAUAGUACGCUUUGGAAACUGUUUAACUUGAGUGCAGAAGGGGAGAGUGGAAUUCCAUGUGUAGCGGUGAAAUGCGUAGAUAUAUGGAGGAACACCGGUGGCGAAAGCGGCUCUCUGGUCUGUAACUGACGCUGAGGCUCGAAAGCGUGGGGAGCAAACAGG
rnacentral:rRNA from 1 species